GAAGGGGGCUAGCGUUGCUCGGAAUUACUGGGCGUAAAGGGAGCGUAGGCGGGUCGUUAAGUUGGRGGUGAAAGCCCGGGGCUCAACCUCGGAAAUGCCUUCRAUACUGGCGACCUUGAGUGUGGGAGAGGUGAGUGGAACUCCGAGUGUAGAGGUGAAAUUCGUAGAUAUUCGGAAGAACACCAGUGGCGAAGGCGACUCACUGGCCCAUUACUGACGCUGAGGCUCGAAAGCGUGGGGAGCAAACAGGAUUAGAUACCCUGGUAGUCCACGCUGUAAACGAUGAGUGCUAGUUGUCGGCAUGCAUGCAUGUCGGUGACGCAGCUAACGCAUUAAGCACUCCGCCUGGGGAGUACGGUCGCAAGAUUAAA
rnacentral:rRNA from 1 species